AAAAAGGUCUUGUGUUGUGCUUGGCACAUCGCAGCCUACUUUUGGGGGCUUUGGUGCGGAAUCGAUAUCAAGAGAUUUCUGAAGCAUACUUUUUGUUAUGAGGACUGCUUGUGAUCGUUAUUCUGGGCGUCCAA